rnacentral:tRNA from 2 species
UCCGCCUUGGUGUAACGGCAGCACGACGGCCUUUGGUGCCGUUAGGUCCGGGUUCGAAUCCUGGAGGCGGAGC